GUUUGUUUGACGAGUUCCAAAUAGGAGGAAACGUGCGUCCUGGAU
rnacentral:hammerhead_ribozyme from 1 species